rnacentral:rRNA from 1 species
GUAUUGGCCUACCGUGGCGAUGACGGGUAACGGGGAAUUAGGGUUCGAUUCCGGAGAGGGAGCCUGAGAAACGGCUACCACAUCUAAGGAAGGCAGCAGGCGCGCAAAUUACCCAAUCCUAAUACAGGGAGGUAGUGACAAGAAAUAACAAUACAGGACUUUUUGGUUUUGUAAUUGGAAUGAGUUAAGUAUAAACCCCUUUACAAGUAUCAAUUGGAGGGCAAGUCUGGUGCCAGCAGCCGCGGUAAUUCCAGCUCCAAUAGCGUAUAUUAAAGUUGUUGCAGUUAAAAAGCUCGUAGUUGGAUUUCUGUUAAUAAUUUAUAUAAAAUAUUUUGAUGAAUAUUUAUAUAACAUUAACAUAAUUCAUAUUACUAUAUUUUUUAGUAUAUGAAAUUUUACUUUGAGAAAAUUAGAGUGCUUAAAGCAGGCAUAUGCCUUGAAUACUCCAGCAUGGAAUAAUAUUAAAGAUUUUUAUCUUUUUUAUUGGUUCUAAGAUAAGAAUAAUGAUUAAUAGGGACAAUUGGGGGCAUUUGUAUUUAA